GUUUCAAAUUGAAUUUUGGAAUUCGAAACUAACAAGGCCAAUUAGAUAGCAUCAUUGCCAAGUGACGGAUCCAAACAAUUCUGUGUAAAAUUUAGGUCGAUGAAAAAUAUGGCUUCUUGACACAAGUAUUUAAACUGAACACUUCAAAAUGAUGUCGGUAUCAAAGGCAGAAACUGAUCUGGAUGAUUUUGAAAAGGAGUUGAACUCUUAUAUUGAAAGUGAAGAAAAAAACAAAAAAGAGAAAGAGAACCAAAACACGAUGGAAAAAGACAAAGAUAAAACGGGGGAGGGUAAGUCGAGCUCUGAGACACUUCCUGUACGGGAGCAGAGUGAUAACGAAGACUCUGAGGUAGAUGACUAUAAUCUAACAGAGGAUCAAAAACGUGCAUUGGAGGAACUAGAUAAUCUCAAAACAGAAAUGGGCUGCCUACCUGAUGAGGACCCCCCAGAAUAUGAUGUUACUGAACGUCUCAAAAUUUUAAAUGAGGAACUUAAAAAUGAUCCAACUCCUGUUGAAAAACAGAAUGAAUCUAAAGUAGUUUUUAAGUCAAAUCUUAUUGAUUUGGUGGCUCCACCACCUGACUUUAGCGAUGAAGAAGGUGAAGAUAAAAAACAAAAUAGUCCAAAGUCAACUAAAACUACAAGUCCUCCUAAAAAACAAACUGAAGAUAAAGUUGAUGACAAUUCAGAAACCAUUUCUACCAGCAAAAAAUCAAAUUCAGGCAAAAAAGAUGAAGUGUUGAUAGAAAUUGAUGGACAGUUUCAAUUAGUAAGUGCUGAUGAUGUACGUGCCAGGGAUUUAGGAUAUACAAUGGACCAUGACAACAAUAAGGAGAAUGAGAAGAAACAGAAUGAGAAAAAUAAAGGGAAGCUACAACCUGCACCACCAGGGAAGCCAAGACCAGCUACAGCCUCUGCCAGUUCACGACGUAGCGUUCGGACAACACCAGUCAAACAACGCCCACAGUCUGCACAUGGGGCAACUGAUCAUGGGUCAGCAAUUAAUAACUUUGAUUACAAUUCUCCAUAUGCUUUAUCGCCAAGAGAAAAACAAUUAAUGGAAGAGAGAAAGAAAGCUCAUGAAAAACAAAGGCAAGAGAGUGAAAGAAGAAGGAAGGAAGAAGAACAGAAUAAGGAAAAAGAGAAUCAGGAAGCAUUUGAAUUCUGGUUAAAGAAGAAACGAGAAAAUGACAGACGAAGAAAAAUACAAGAAGAAGAAGAUAGGAAAACGAAUGCAAAAGAAGAUAGGCAAAGAAUCCGAGAUUUUGAGAAAAACAAGGCAUUUGCGACAUAUGAUAUUCUCUACUAUAAGAAGGAAGAGAAUGAAGAAGCUUUUAAGCAGUGGUUACAGGAGAAACAAGGACAGUUCAAGAAAGAGAAGCUACUGAAACGCCGCCAGGAUCAAGAGAUGCACGAGGGUUACUAUGUCAGAAGUAGAGAAGAAUGUGAAAAAGCUUAUAAACAGUGGUUAAAACAUAAAGCAAUAGAAGCAAGGAAGGCGAGGGCUGCAGAAAGGAACAAAGCUAAACUACAACGGUUAGCUGCACGGAGAUCUCGAAAAUCUAUCUCACUGUCUAAGUCAAUAAGAGAGGCACAGUCAUUUCGAUAUGUUGAUUACUAUGGGUACAGAUUCUAACAAUUAUCCAUAGUAACAUAAACUUUACAAACAAAAGGGGCAGCUUGCCAUUUUCAAACACCCACCAGCAUACCUGCUAAUGCUUUCGGUAUGAGAGAAGCAGCUCCACUGCAUGAUUUAUUUGACAGACGACAGCAGUUUAUUUCUAUUUUAUUGACUCAAAAUAUAAUGUAUAACAUCAUUUAAGAAAAAACUAUAAGCUGGAAGCCUAGUUUGAUAGAUGUAAAUAUCUGCUUUUUUCCAAGAGCAGUGUUCUGACAGUCAUUUCGAAACUUUUUUGUCUUGAGUCGAUUAGUUGAGACCUGAGUGUUUACCAGUUUAUGCAAAGGUAUAAGCAACCAAAACAUUUAUACUGAUUACAGUUUCAGAAAAUUUCUUUGAGGUUUUAGGGAGAAAUCCAAAAUGUUUGCAGAAUUAUGAAUGUUUUGUUUGCAGAAAUGUACAAGAAAAUUGAAGGAAUUGUAUGAUAAAUUAGCAGGUAUGAAAUGUUUGGGUGACAUUUUGAAUAGGUAACCAAAAUCACAUGUAGCUUUAGUCGGGUUUGUUAUAUACAUGUAGUGAAUGUUGAGAGAUAAAAUAGUGUGUCUAGCAUUAUUCAGAUUCUAGAUACACCAGUCUUGCAUACACAGAUAGUGUUUGAGUCAUUCUGUAGAUAUUACUCAUUAUACUGGGUCUGCAUGCAUCUGCUGGUCUCAAUAUGAAAUUUAUAGAAUUCAAAAUGGCAAAAUUUCUUUUCGCAUAUAUUUGUAAUUUUGAAAUAUUUCAUUGAAACUUGUCAUGAAUAUAGCACUUGCUUAAACAAAAGGCUAUCUGUGCAAGUUUCAACAAAAUUUAUGCCUUUUUGAGUACAAGUCUGAAUAUGAGUUUCAAACUAAGUUGAUGAAUGCAGGCCCUGUACACCGUCAGUCACUGAAACCUCCGAGAAAUUGUAGUGUUCAAAUGUUUGUUUGUCUGUGUGUUUUGUCUUAUCAUACUCUUAGACAUGUUGAUUGGUUUAUAAAAAAAAAUAUUUUCAUUGAGAUAAAAAUGUAAUUAUGUUCUGUCAAAAUACCUGAUACAGAUGAAUUAUGCCACAAACAUGUCGCUACGCAAGGAUGUGUAAAAUUGUGACUUUUUCGAUAUGCCUCAAAAGUGUUCUAAUUAGAAAUUAAAAACUUGUAUGUAAGAAGGACAUUAAAUCUUGUGGUAAACUGUACUCCUUUUAUUGUGAUGGAUAAAUAGAUUUCACAUGAAUGUGAAAGUAUUUGAAUUAAUGUAGUUGUUUUCUUAAGUACAUUGUACAUGUAAUUACAUUAGCUUAUACUGAACAGUCAAUAUGGUUUUGACCAAAGCAUCAACUUUCUUUAUGAUAAAAAUUCAUAGAUUUCCACUGCUUAAGAUAAAAUAAGUAAGCAUUUUAUUUGUUGAUUUGUAUUUAAUUUCAUGGAUUGAUGCAGCCACAGAACCUACUAAAGUAGUCCCAACAAAAAAGUAGUACCCAAUGAAUAAGAUUUUCCAGAAGUUUUCUUUUGUACAGAUGUUUCAACAGAAGUUCUUGUAUAUAUAAAAAUAACAGACAUCUAAUAUUUGUUGUAACAAGAAUCUUACUAAUCCGAAUACAAUGAAUUCCGUCCAUUCACAGUACUUUAUUCAAGUGUUUAUUAUUCUUUUCAUUUUUCUUAUACGUGUAUACAAAAUGAUUGAUUUGAUAGUUGUGUUUACAUUAAUAAGAUGACAUUCCAAUUUUAGUGUUAAAAUGGCAUUUACAUGUUUAUCAAUAAUUUUAAUAUCCCUCUGUAUUUGUUUUCAAGUUUAUAUAUACAUACAAAAUUUAUUAUAUAAUUAUGUAUUGAUGGUCUCAAUUUAAAAUGCUGAGCCUAGUAUUUUUUUGCAAUUUCCGAUUUUUUAAGCACCAUUAAGCAGAGGAAUUCUAUUACUAUAUUUCUUGAAAUUUACAUCAUCACUGAUCUGUCAAGAAAAACUUAAUUCAGUCAUGUGAUAAAUUGUUGAAUCACGAUUUGUGGAGAAAAAUAUGUUAAAAAAAAACAAAAUUGUAACUUCCGCAUCAAAUAAGCAAUACAUAAGAAGAAAUUGGUUUUAGCAUCAUUUUGGGAAAAUAUAAUUUGCUUCUCUUGAAAAAUUUAGGUGUUGUAGGUUUUUCAUUUUAAUUGCAGACCAUCAAAAUGUAAAUUAGACCACAACAGUUGGAUGUCAGGGAGUUUGUUAUGUUUUGUACUGUUCAGUUUAGAUUUUACAUGUUAGAAAUUGAAAUGUUGCUGUAGAGACUAUGCUCUCUUAACAUGAAAAAUUAUGGGUUUUUUUUUUUGUUUUUUAUGCAAAAUUCAAGUUUAUGCCAACUUUUUGGUGGGAUGGAAAAAUGUGUAGGAAAUGUAGAGGAUUGUGAAUAUUUGAAGUACUAUUGGUACAUGUACUUUUUCAAAUCAAAAUUAGCUGCAUCACAUACCUUACACAUACUAAUUGUCAAUGAAUUAUUAACUCAUUAAUGCAGUUUGGCAAUUUAAUUUAAACCUUUAAGUCUUGGGUUUAUUCAACUUUAAGCAGAGACAAUUAUAUUCAGAUUAUGUAGUGGUUUUCUAUUUAUUAACAAGUGAAUGUUUUAGCUACAUUUUUAUUGGCAUACCACACUUAAGUGGUAUAAUGUCAUACCACAGGAAUAUAACAUACUACAAUAAUGCUGCAUUAUGACAUAUCUUGCUACCAUGAUGUACCACACUUAUGUGGCAUAAUGACAAACCACAUUAAUGCACAUAAUGACAUACCACACUAAUGUGGCAUAAUGUCAUACGACACUGAUGCCACAUAAUGACAUACCACAUUAAUGCCUCUUGAUGUCAUACUACAUGAAUGUGGCAUAAUGUCAUACCACACUGAAGCCACAUAAUGACAUACUACACUAAUGCCACAUAAUGAUGUACCACACUAAUGCCACAUAAUGACGUACAACACAAAUGCGGCAUGACAUACCACACUAAUGCGGCAUAAUGACAUAUUACACUGAUGCCACAUAAUGACAUACCACACUAAUGCCUCUUGAUGUCAUACCACAUGAAUGUGGCAUAAUGUCAUACCACACUAAUGCAGCAUAAUGUCAAACUACACUGAUACCACUCUAAUGCGGGUACAUACUUAGUUAUAGAUCUGACUUAUUGUGAUUUUUAACACUGUGUUUUAAUAGAUUAGUUUUUAUGACUCGUGUAAAAAAAAAAAGAGAAAGAAAUUAGGCCUGUGAUAAGUACUUGUGGAUAUCAUGCCAGACUGGAAUAUUCUGAGGUUGUUGGGAAAUUUACUCUGUUCAGCAUAGCAAUUAUUGGCUGUUAAUGGCCGCACAGUUUUAUUUGUGAAAAAAAAAAGCAUUCCUUAUCAACAAAUCAAAAUUUGAUGCAUUGCGCAUUAUUUAUUAUAUACAAUCAUGUGAUAUGUAAUUAAAGUUUACUACUGAUCCAUGCUGUUUGCUUUCAAAGCCUAUUACAAUUAGAGAACCCGUUAGCGAACAGCAUGGAUCCUGACCAGACUGCGCGGAUGCGCAGGCUGGUCUGGAUCCUUGCUGGUCGCAUACCCACUAUGUUGGUUUUCUCAUGGCACGGCUCAUUUAAUCUAGAUUUAUAUCAUGCUAUUUGCAAGUUUGUUUUAUACAUGUGAGCAUAAAACUGUAAUGUGUAAAUUUUGAAUAUUACGAUAUUUGAGAGGUUUGGACAUUUGAGAGCUUUCAAAAUUUGAGAGGUUUUUUAUUUGUGUGUUAUCAUGUUAAGAAGGAUCCUUUUUUAAAUAAAAGUCACAUUUUUCUGGGAAUAAAUAUUUAUUUGAAGUUUUCCCCACAGGCAGAUAUUUAGUGGUUCCUGUUCAAAAUACAAAUGGACAGAAUUGUUUUCUUAAAUAAGAAAAAAUAACAUUGAUGAAUCUGUCGAAGUUAGGAAGAAAAAAAAUCAAAUGUUCCUUUUUGACUUGAUGGCACAUAUGAGCCGUGCCAUGAGAAAACCAACAUAGUGGGUUUGCGACCAGCAUGGAUCCAGACCAGCCUGCUCAUCCGCGCAGUCUGGUCAGGCUCCAUGCUGUUCGCUUUUAAAGCCUAUUGGAAUUGGAGAAACUGUUAGCGAACAGCAUGGAUCCAGACCAGACUGCGCGGAUGUGCAGGCUGGUCUGGAUCCAUGCUGGUCGCAAAGCCACUAUGUUGGUUUUCUCAUGGCGCAGCUCAAAAUUUUGUUUAAAAAAGCAUGUUUUAAAAGGUAUUGUAUGUAAGCCUUCUCCUGCCAAGUUUUUCUGUGAUAGUUGUCAUAUAAAUGAAAUUAUUACACGAUUCUUUAUAAUAUAAAUCCCUGGUCCAUAGUUUGCUCUAUAUGACCAGUCUAUAUUCAGUCUGAAAGGUAAAAAAUUAAAUGUUGUGAAAAUUAAUUUCCAAUGUCAUGUAAUAGACACUUCUUGAAUGGCUUGCUGGUCAGUAGUCAAAGCUAUUAGCCCUUAGACCUCGGGCAAUACUUUUAACUAUUGACUGGCAAGCCAUUCAGUACUGCUAAGUGUAUUAUAAUAUCAACAUAUCGCUAGCCUUGUGGCAGAUGAUGCACCACUGUAACGUUGUGCUUCUUCAUUAAUGACUCACAAAAAUUGUCGUCUACAUCAAACUUCGUUUGACUUUCCUCUGUUACAUGUACUUUUUCCCUAAAACAUUGAUUCUAUUUCAUGGUUUCCGGUUGUCUACUGAAAUAAUUGUAGAUAAUAUUCUUUAUUCUGUCACCAACAUUUCAUCAACAUUUUCAUUUACUGAUUAAAAUUAUUUUCAGUAAAGUGAGUUUUUACUAGAACACAAAAAUAUGUGUCCUUUCUAACUUAAAAGUGAAAAUUUCAUGGAAAUGUAUAACUUUUUGAUAUAAAUCUUGCGAUGCCAUGAUAUUAUUUGUGACAUUACAGGAUUAAAAUUUCUGUUUGAUCCAUGUAAUCUGUAAGUUUUUCAGGAAGGGGGACUUUAUUUUGUCAGAUCUUGUUACAUCAUUAUAAACUUCUCUGAGAGUGGUAGUAGGAUCGAUAUACAUUUGUGAAAUAUGUUAAACAAUGUCUAUUUUAUGGCUAAAUAUGUAUUGUCCCAUUUUAGAAACUGGGCAAAAUUACAAUUUCGAAAAAGAUUAAAAAUGUUUUAAACAUUAUAUCAAAAGUUUGCACAUAAAUUUUGUUUAUUUAAAUAAAUGCUAAGAUACCCUGUAAGUCUUAUUUUAAGAUGUCCGAAAUUUAUGAUGAAAAAUAUCACACCUGAAUUGUUUGUUGAUUAAUAAAAAUAUGAAAAAUUGAAAAAAUCCUAUUACCACACUUUGGGUUCUUUAGAUUGAUGUAUAAUCUCAAUGGUGUUGUCUUAUAUUUAAACUAUAGAAAAACCAUGCUCCGGAAAGUAUGGAUCAAACAGAAGGUUUAAACCAUUUAUGAGAAAAAGAAAAAUAGAAAAUGUUGUUUAUUUUACAUUAAAGAUCAAACUAUUUUAUUAGUGAACACCUGAUUUUAUACUGUUCCUUUUGAGGUAAAAAUAUGCAUGUGCUUGGUGUAUACUCAUUGAAAAAAAAUAUCACAUAUUUGAGUAGGCCUACUCAAGAAUAGAAACAUAAGUUGAAGAUUUUAUAUUGUAUGAUUUUUAAAACAAAUAUUAUGCUAAUAGUAUGAUUAUUUUGUUUUUGACAUAGUUAAUGUUUUCAUAUUUUAACAUAACGGUAGUUAUUUAGAAUUUUAAAAAUCAUGUACACCUUUUGUUGCUCUGACCAUAUUUUAUAUAUGUUCUCUUAUUAAAAUGUGCCAAUUAAAGAUGUAGAUCUUA